rnacentral:rRNA from 1 species
AUACAUGAGCAAAAUCUCAACUUUUUUAGAAGAGAUGCAUUUAUUAGAUAAAAAACCAAUACAUGCUUUUAAAGUAUGGAAUUUGGUGAUUUACAAUAACUUAGCAAAUCGCAUAGUGAAAACAGGCGAUAAAUCAUUCAAGUUUCUGACCUAUCAGCUUUCGACGGUAUGGUAUUGGCUUACCGUGGCAGUGACGGUUAACGGGGGAUUAGGGUUCGAUUCCGGAGAGGGAGCCUGAGAAACGGCUACCACAUCUAAGGAAGGCAGCAGGCGCGCAAAUUACCCAAUUCUAACAGCAUAAGAGAGGUAGUGACAAGAAAUAACAAUACAAGGCAGUUAAAAUGCUUUGUAAUUGGAAUGAUAGAAAUUUAAACACUUUUUAAAGUAUCAAUUGGAGGGCAAGUCUGGUGCCAGCAGCCGCGGUAAUUCCAGCUCCAAUAGCGUAUAUUAAAAUUGUUGCAGUUAAAAAGCUCGUAGUUGAAUUUCUGCUAAAAAUAACCGGUCUGCUUUUAAUAAAGGUGGUAUCUUGGUGUGUUUUUAGCAAUAAUGUCCUUUGAAAUGUUUAUUACUUCAUUGUAAUAAAUUAUUUUCAGGAUUUUUACUUUGAGAAAAUUAGAGUGUUUCUAGCAGGCUAACGCUUUGAAUACUGCAGCAUG